UUAACAGAUUCUUCCUCUCUUCUCCUCUCCUCUUAAUAAUCUAAUCCUUCUCCCCGAAUAUCUCUCUGCCUUUUGUUCUUUCUUUUUUGGUAAUUUAUUUAUUUUCCAUUCGAUUUGGUCAAAACCCUAGAUUUGUUUUCCAAAAGCAUAUCUAAAAAUGAAGGACAACUUUCCUCUUGUCCUUCGAUUAUAAAUAUUCUCUCUGGUUUAACCUAAAAGCCUCAGAUCUAACUCAACACAUUCAAAGUCUGCCUCCUUUUCAAUAUUCUUUCUUCUCUUCCAUCUCUAAUCUCAGAAUUUGUGUCGGUAUGGUAAAAAGGGUGAUGAGUUAUGAGUGAUAGAGUUUUGGGACAAAUUUUAAGAGAAACGCAUAGAAACUGACAGAAGAGAGUGAGCACACAAAGGCACUUUGCAUGUUCGAUGCAUUUGCUUCUCUUGCGUGCUCACUGCUCUAUCUGUCAGAUUUCGGCUCCGAUUCGGUUCCGUUCACGUUUUCUUCUUCUAAUUGUGUUCCAAUCUCUCACUUUCUUUCUCAUGUGUUCUUCAUCUCUCCAAAGGUAAAUUAAAUACGAUCUGAUGAUAUAUGUAUGAAGAUUGUUGUUAUUUGCUGCCAUUUAUUUGGUUUAAAAUUGCAUGCGAGUUUGCUUUAUGUGUUUUCCUUUGCUGAACUUUAUAUUUUAUGAGAUCCUUAGCAUCGAAAGCUUAAUCUAUGAGUUUAAGGCGUGGUUAAGUGAGAUUAACAUGGGACCAUUAACGUUAACCUAGUUUUACUUAGGCUGGUCCUAACUCUUUUGAAUCCUUUAUAAUAUUAUAUUGUUACCUUUUCCUUUAUCUAGUUUCUCAUUAGCCCUUUUAAUCUGUGAUUUCUAGUCUUGGUCUCUUCAUAAAUAUCUGUGGAUAUUUUUGUUAUAUAUGAUCAUAUCUAUGUGUAUAGUCAUGGAUCUUGCAAGAGUACUGUUCAUGAUCUUCGAAUUGCUGUACAGAUUAUUUAUAUUGCAUGCUCGUACGUUUUGAUUCCAUUUAUGUAAUUAUGUUUCUAAUUUAGUCUAUCACAUAUAGUUUAAUGUGUUUUGUACUACUUAUAGAUGGUAUCUAGUUUAUAUGUCAUUGAUCGACGUGAUCACGUUGUGAAUCUUGUGAGAAUAUUCUCGUGGGUUUGUGUCUUGAUUUAAGAAAUGUUCUUUGGGUUUGUUUCUUGAUUUGAGAACAUGUUCUUUGCAUGUCCUCAAAACGACGUUUUAAUUUAGGCAUUCUUUGGAAUUUUUUUGUUGUUUUUUACCAAAAAAUCUUCAGUAAUUUGAACCUGUAAGGAUCAAAUCAAUCCUGUAUCGUGAUUAAGGAAUUUUCAGUAUAUGACUGCUUUAUGUAUGUUUCAUGUCUAGAUUGUGAAGGAUAUUAAAAUUUGAUUUGUCUCACUUAUAUUUUUUUCUCUACGCCAAAACAUUUCAAAAUUUCAAUUUUAAUUCAUAUAUAUUUAUGGGAGGGAUGUAAUGUUAUCUUGGGGUUUUCUUCUGGUGAGUAGGUAAUAUAUAUUCCACAUACCAAUAGAAACCUCUAUCAUUCAUGGUCUCUGUUGUAUUGCUAGAUGUCUCUUGUCAUGCGUUUGUGUUGUUCUUGAUACUGAUUUGCUUUCUCCUUUGUUCCCAUGUUUUCGUUGUUUACAAACCAAAAAAAAAGCCAAUGUGAGACGCAAAUUUAUGUUCUUGCUAUAAUCGACAACAAUUAGUUUUAAUUAAAUUUCUUCAAGAGAAAGAUAGUGCUUUCUUGAUGCUUGUGAAAUGAGUUACCAUUAACCGUUCAUCGAUAAUCUUCAGACGGCAUGUCUAGAAGAACGAUAUGUAAGAGGUCUUAUGUAUACUUGCAUCACAUAAAUGCUAUGAUUAAGAUGUCACCAAGGCUUUGUUAAAGUUAGAAUCACAUGGAGCAUUUUCGGUGAGCUAGGAAGUCGGAUCAAAGAGGCUCUAAGUUUUUCGAAGGUUUGAAUAAUCUAAGCUAUAUCGAUCUUUUGGUAGCUGCCCCAUUCAAAUUGUUCCUGCGAAGUCAAAGAGAUCAAUAUUGCAGGGCUUAGCCUAACCUAUUUGUACUUUAAGAGUUGAUAUGCUUUAAUUUGAUCUAUUUUGUUGAUUCCUCAUGUUCCACAUAUAUGUGAUUUUUGUAGUUUAGAGUCGGUUAUUAAACAUUGUUUAACGAAUUAUGAGGUGAUUGUAGAAACUGAGUAGGAUUGUUGUUCUGCAGGUCCACUGCAGAUAUACUAUGAUAAUUUAUGUUAUUGGAAUUUGAAUCCCUGAAUUAUCCAA